CUGCCUCUUGAAAAAAGAUGCCUGUCUUGCCUUUCGUGGAAAGUCAGUGCCAUUCCCUAUUUUUCAGAGGCAG
rnacentral:ncRNA from 1 species